AUGAAUGUUGAAAAGCUCAAGAAGAUGGCAGGUGCCGUGCGCACCGGGGGGAAGGGUAGCAUGCGCAGGAAGAAGAAGGCUGUACACAAGACCACGACUACAGAUGACAAAAGGCUCCAGAGUACCCUGAAAAGAGUAGGAGUCAACACCAUCCCUGGUAUCGAAGAGGUCAACAUCUUUAAGGAUGAUGUGGUUAUUCAGUUUCUGAAUCCUAAAGUGCAAGCUUCGAUUGGUGCUAAUACAUGGGUGGUCAGUGGAACUCCACAGACAAAGAAACUGCAAGAUCUGCUGCCAUCAAUUAUCAAUCAACUUGGUCCUGACAACUUGGACAACCUGCGGAGGCUCGCAGAGCAAUUCCAAAAGCAGGUCCCUGGUGGUGCUGCUGGCAUCGAGGCUGGUACCAGUGCAGGAGCUGCUCAGGCUGACGACGACGAUGAUGUUCCUGAGCUUGUCCCUGGAGAGACAUUUGAAGAGGCCGCUGAAGACAAAAAGGCAGAGUCGUGA
rnacentral:rRNA from 1 species